ACCUCCUACAAAGACAGGAUGGCGGUUCCCUGUCUGUUGACACCUAAGAACUGGAGGCCAUGAAAUGUGGACCUGGAUAAAUCUGCAGCCAGCUUGCUCCCUAUAGGCUCAAGAUCAGCCAUCCCACAUAG